GGCUGCAAUUUGUUGACAACACGUGUUACAGCAUCAGGUAUACUGUUGCCAGCUUAUACAAGGUGCGCCUUUUUUGAUGCUCAGGGCCUUCUCACCUUAUCGAGAGCUCUGAUGACAACAGUACACAUAUAGCAACAUGAUAAACCAAGUGAACCUGCAUUAUAAGCUGCAUAAGAAAACAAAUAAAAAAGAACAGAAAACUCUGCGACUGUAAAUAUGCGAUCUGGUUUCCUGUUAUUCGAUGUUAGCAACUUUAAUCAGAGUGACGAACAGUACUAUCUUAUAGUCCCUGACAUGGAUAUCUUCAUAUAGAUGGACGCAUCGACUCGUUUCUUUAUGCCUUUCGACUAUAUAUAUUGGGUAAGUAACUCCAUCUAUAUCGUAUUACAUAUAUUCGCAAUACUCCAGCAUGCACCUUUUCUACCAAUUUUGAAUGGGUAGUAGGUUAGUUACAUUCAUUCGCUACAUUCUUAGUCAAUGUUUUGCCCAGAAAAUGACGUGUCAUAACUACCUUACACUUUAGGCCUGCUUAAAAGUCAUUAUCAUUGGAUGUCCAUCAAAUUCAACAACUAGAGCUAUAGCCACAGCCCAGACGAAAACAAAUUCAUCGCUUCAUUAGGAAGCAAUAAAAACGGCAAUCUGCCAAAUUGGCCCGAUCGUCAUUGAACAAUAUAUCAAACGUAUUGAGUUGGGCACUUUGUUAUUUGCUUUUGGGGUUUCAAGCGCCAAUUGCUGGAAGGUUCGACAUUGAAAUCCGUAGGGGUUAACUGUCAACAACAAAA